rnacentral:rRNA from 1 species
AUUGAACGCUGGCGGCAGGCCUAACACAUGCAAGUCGAGCGGAUGAGUGGAGCUUGCUCCAUGAUUCAGCGGCGGACGGGUGAGUAAUGCCUAGGAAUCUGCCUGGUAGUGGGGGACAACGUUUCGAAAGGAACGCUAAUACCGCGUACGUCCUACGGGAGAAAGCAGGGGACCUUCGGGCCUUGCGCUAUCAGAUGAGCCUAGGUCGGAUUAGCUAGUAGGUGAGGUAAUGGCUCACCUAGGCGACGAUCCGUAACUGGUCUGAGAGGAUGAGCAGGCACACUGGAACUGAGACACGGUCCAGACUCCUACGGGAGGCAGCAGUGGGGAGUAUUGGACAAUGGGCGAAAGCCUGAUCCAGCCAUGCCGCGUGUGUGAAGAAGGUCUUCGGAUUGUAAAGCACUUUAAGUUGGGAGGAAGGGCAGUAAGUUAAUACCUUGCUGUUUUGACGUUACCAACAGAAUAAGCACCGGCUAACUUCGUGCCAGCCGCCGCCGUAAAAC